ACGUUUGGUCUGUAGUACGGUUAAGCUCGGGCAAGUGUUUUGUCGCAUGCGAAUCACUUCAGAAUAGUAAACACAAAACCGGAAAUACAAACCGCCGUACUGAAAGUCGGGUUAAUAACACGACACGAGGACAAAAACAGCUGACAACAGGUUGCCACUUCCUGCAACGACCAGUCGGGGAUGGUACAUCACGCACUCUACUUUGCAUCCCUUCAGAGCAUAGCUCACAAUAGCUGAGUUGACUCAACAGGUGGGUCUCUGCUACACCUGCCCUGAAUUACGUGUCACCACUGGUCAGUCGGCAGUCUCAUGCACUCUCGGCUGCAAUGUCAAACAAGCCCUAGGUCUAUGCUAGCCCAGCGUCAUUGGGGUUAGGAGAGGGUUUGGCCGGCAGGGAUGUCCUUAUCUCAUCGGGCUCUACCGACUCAUUGUGGCGAGCUGGGUGCCUGCAAGCUGACCCCGGUUGUCAGUUUGACAGUGUUAAGAUAGCGCUGGAGAAGAAGGCAGAUGUUUUACGUGAUUGUAUUUUUUUGUCAUUUAUUUGCAACUCUGACGAGCCCGACGCGAAGGAUAUACUGCUUCCUCGGGAACAGGCCCCGAUCCCCGUGACCUGCGUGAAGAGGAAGUGGAGAAAGAGGGGCCGAAGAGAGGGCUGCCUUCUGAGAAUUCGUAAGCGAUCGAAUAAACCCCCACUUCCCUCCAUUCUGCUAGAAAACGUGUAAUCCUUGGAGAAUAUAAUCGCUGAGUUACGCGGAAGAUUAAACUACCAACCGGACAUUAAAAACGGUAACAUCUUAUGCUUCAUGGACUCGUUGCUGAACGACAACAAUAUCAACAUACAGCUGGCUGGUUAUACGAUGUACCGGCAGGAUAGAACAGCGGAGUCUGGUAAAACAAGAGGUGGUAAAACAAGAGGUGAGUUCAAGACAACUGGGAACUCGGAUAAAACUAGCUCCGACUGGGAAAAUACGUAAAAUCAUUUUGAGCGCUCAUCCAACUCAGAAUUCCAAGGUGGGACUCUUUCUAGAGCCCACAGGAAGGACCGCUUCGCCACCUUCCUGUUCAAGUGAGCACAGCACAACAAGGUGAGUCCAAAAAUCUAGCGUAUGCUGCUGCAUAAAUUAUGUAAUAUGCCAGGGAUAUACUGUCGCUAAGAAAGUAAUACUAAGUGUAUGUUGUGUAGUAAGCUGUUAGUAGCCCAUGUGCAUCACCCUAAUAAUUUGGUCUCUUUCUUCCCUCAUAACUUAGCCUACUGUUCUGACUUGAUGGUGCACAUAUAGCCUGUUUUAGAGAAAUGUAAUCAUCAAAUAUUGUAAGAGCUUUCAUUGUCUGCUUCUAUGCCCCCUUUAUUUAGCCUACGGUUCUGAUUUGGUGUACAGGGAGAAUACUGAGCUGUACAUUUCAGAAGUUCUAAACAAAUAGUUAUACUGACUACAUCCUUCCUAGCUUGCUCAUUAAUAUCUUAAUCAAAAUUACGAUUGCCUUUUAUCUGCUCGUUGUUCCCUUAUGCCAUAGUUUGUACAUCUCAAUUGUCCGAAUUGUCAGUAGAAACCACAUUUGUUUAAGCAAGUCAGCCAUAUCAGCUAUGUUUUUAAAAAAGGCAGUAAAUGAGGAUGAAUUAACUGUUUCGUGUCCAGACAAGGCUUUGCUGGUAGCGAAGUGUAGCAGUGGUAAGGAUUCAUUUAAUGGUGCUGAAAAGAAAGCUCUGUUGUUGGGACGGCUUUAGGUUUUCCCUUAUAGUUUGUUGUCACCGUUAUAGUGCAAUGAAUAUAUAUUGUUUAGUGUUGUGUCGUGGCUUUGCUGGCAUGCAGCAAACAUGUUUUUGUUUUUUGCCCCACUUAGAUUUUACAUGCUAAAAUCACCACUGCUACUGACUGAUCUACAAAUCACCUUGCAUCAUAAAUAACGACUCAUUAUUACUUUUAGAUUAGUCAGUCACAAUUUACCCAUGAUACAUCAUGGUUUUGAUGCCCUCAAACACGGCCAUAAUUUGGGUUUACAGAGCACUUUGUAGUGUACAUUUUUCACAAUUGUUGAUUGUUUCUUUGAGAAUAAUAGCCCUAUCAUCUUUGAGGUGUGAAAUAUUGACAGUAGAAAAUGCUUUACUGCUACGGAUAUUGCCCUGUUCAUAUUCUGUGCCUGCCAAGCACACCGUAAAAUUGUGCCUGUGUCUUCCUCCUUCUCAAGUGCUUGUUUCUUAUUAGGUCAUUCUUGACUCGCUGGCUCUCAAAACAAGGAGCCCAAGCCAAACCUUGGGAUGGCAACCAUUUAUUUUCCUUGUCGGAAGUGAGGUUUGUGAUAUAAAACUCAAACAUCUCAUUGUGCUGGGUGGUUCACACAGACCUGCCCAAUAACCUACUGCACAGCAAACAUCCUACUAUUAUGCAACACUUCCAGGGAGCCGUCUGGCUGAGAUUGACACAUGUCUGGGCUGGGUUGGUUGGUUUUCUGAUGGAGAAAAAUAACUCACCCACUUAGAAUCAAUAGUUGUCUCUAUAUACGGUGUCUGUGUUUGCAAUAUUUCUGUAGUAGAAUGUUCCAUGCAUAAUAUUUCUGUGUAGUAGAAUGUUCAAUGUUUCUGUAGUAGAAUGUUCUAUGCAGAAUAUUUCUUUGUAGUAGAAUGUUCAAUGUUUCUGUUGUAGAAUGUUCCAUGCAUAAUAUUUCUGUGUAGUAGAAUGUUCAAUGUUUCUGUAGUAGAAUGUUCUAUGCAGAAUAUUUCUGUGUAGUAGAAUGUUCAAUGUUUCUGUAGUAGAAUGUUCCAUGCAGAAUAUUUCUGUGUAGUAGAAUGUUCUAUGCAGAAUAUUUCUGUGUAGUAGAAUGGUCAAUGUUUCUGUGGUAGAAUGUUCCAUGUAUAAUAUUUCUGUGUAGUAGAAUGUUCACUGUUUCUGUUGUAGAAUGUUCCAUGCAUAAUAUGUCUGUGUAGUAGAAUGUUCAAUGUUUCUCUAGUAGAAUGUGCUAUGCAGAAUAUUUCUGUGUCGUAGAAUGUUCUAUGCAGAAUAUUUCUGUGUCGUAGAAUGUUCUAUGCAGAAUAUUUCUGUGUAGUAGAAUGUUCUAUGCAGAAUAUGUCUGUGUAGUAGAAUGUUCAAUGUUUCUGUAGUUGAAUGUUCUAUGCAGAAUAUUUCUGUGUAGUAGAAUGUUCAAUGUUUCUGUAGUAGAAUGUUCUAUGCAGAAUAUUUCUGUGUAGUAGAAUGUUCUAUGCAGAAUAUUUCUGUGUAGUAGAAUGUUCAAUGUUUCUGUAGUAGAAUGUUCCUUGCAGAAUAUUUCUGUGUAGUAGAAUGCAUAAUUUUUCCAUAGUAGAACAGUUCUCAGGGUCGUGUCUAGGGUCUUUGAAAACAGGAGCUGGCUGGCGCGUCUACUUUAAGUGGUCAUGAAACCCAAUGACGUGUAAUGGACAGCUGGAACUUGGCGUCAGAUUUCUCCCAGAAUCCUUGGUCGCCGGGCCACCACGCCUCGCAUGCGAAUCCCUCAGAACUCUAACUUGUGGGGGAAAAACAAGAACAAAAAAACAUUACGACUCCCUCUGGUCAAAGCACCAAAACCCCUCAUCAAGUUCUGGAAGGAGCACCAGUCCAGUCCAUGCCGGUAUGCGUAAUGUGACACCAUUAUUCUUACUUCUUGGCAAAGGGCUGCAGUAGCCUACCCCUGGGGGCUGAGAAGGCCCAAAUCCUACAAAGUCAUUACCUUAAAUUAGCCCUUACAGAGCCAGUCAGAGCCUAAGCAUCCACUCAAACUCACUGCAAUGUGCUGGACCUGGGCCACAGUAAUGAAGAGAUGGGGUAGUCGCCAAACCAACCACCAACUGCCCAAAUCACAGUUUGAUCCCUCCAUUAUCACAUUAACCCUGGCUAAUUGGAAAAUACAGGUUCCCCAGAGG